rnacentral:misc_RNA from 2 species
CCGAGUUUACAACUCCCAAACCCCUGUGAACAUACCUUACUGUUGCCUCGGCGGAUCAGCCCGCUCCCGGUAAAACGGGACGGCCCGCCAGAGGACCCCUAAACUCUGUUUCUAUAUGUAACUUCUGAGUAAAACCAUAAAUAAAUCA